ACGACUGCUGCUAAGACUGGAUAGGAAGAUAAAAGGCAUCUUGUAUCUUUUAAAAGACCUAGUUAAUAGGUAUGCUUUAGGAGGGGCUUGCGCCAUAUUAGUUAGUUGGUAGGGUAAUGGCCUACCAAGACGAUGAUGUGUAGCUGGACUGAGAGGUUGAACAGCCACAUUGGGACUGAGACACGGCCCAAACUCCUACGGGAGGCAGCAGUAGGGAAUUUUCGGCAAUGGAGGAAACUCUGACCGAGCAACGCCGCGUGAAUGACGAAGUACUUCGGUAUGUAAAGUUCUUUUAUCGAGGAAGAAAAGCAAAUGGCGAACCAUUUGUUUGCCGGUACUUGAUGAAUAAGCCCCGGCUAAUUAUGUGCCAGCAGCCGCGGUAAGACAUAAGGGGCAAGUGUUAUCCGGAAUUAUUGGGCGUAAAGGGUGCGUAGGCGGUCUAGUAAGUCAGUGGUGUAAUGUCAACGCUUAACGUUGUCCGGCUAUUGAAACUGCUAAACUUGAGUUAGAUAGAGGCGAGUGGAAUUCCAUGUGUAGCGGUAAAAUGCGUAAAUAUAUGGAGGAACACCAGAGGCGUAGGCGGCUUGCUGGGUCUUAACUGACGCUGAGGCACGAAAGCGUGGGGAGCAAACAGGAUUAGAUACCCUGGUAGUCCACGCCGUAAACGAUGAGUACUAAGUGUCGGGUUAAACCGGUACUGAAGUUAACACAUUAAGUACUCCGCCUGAGUAGUACGUACGCAAGUAUGAAACUUAAAGGAAUUGACGGGACUCCGCACAAGCGGUGGAUCAUGUUGUUUAAUUCGAAGAUACCCGAAAAACCUUACCAGGUCUUGACAUGUUUUUGCAAAAUGAUAGUAAUAUCGUGGAGGUUACCAGAAACACAGGUGGUGCAUGGUUGUCGUCAGCUCGUGUCGUGAGAUGUUAGGCUAAGUCCUAAAACGAGCGAAACCCUUAUCGUUAGUUGCCAGCACGUUAUGGUGGGGACUUUAACGAGACUGCCAAUGAUAAAUUGGAGGAAGGUGAGGAUCACGUCAAAUCAGCAUGCCCCUUAUGACCUGGGCUACAAACGUGAUACAAUGGCUGUUACAAAGGGUAGCUGAAACGCAAGUUCUUGGCCAAUCCCCAAAAACAGUCCCAGUCCGGAUUGAAGUCUGCAACUCGACUUCAUGAAGUUGGAAUCGCUAGUAAUCGCGAAUCAGCAUGUCGCGGUGAAUACGUUCGCGGGGUUUGUACACACCGCCCGUCA
rnacentral:rRNA from 1 species